CGCAUAACGUCGCAAGACCAAAGAGGGGGACCUUAGGGCCUCUUGCCAUCGGAUGUGCCCAGAUGGGAUUAGCUAGUAGGUGGGGUAACGGCUCACCUAGGCGACGAUCCCUAGCUGGUCUGAGAGGAUGACCAGCCACACUGGAACUGAGACACGGUCCAGACUCCUACGGGAGGCAGCAGUGGGGAAUAUUGCACAAUGGGCGCAAGCCUGAUGCAGCCAUGCCGCGUGUAUGAAGAAGGCCUUCGGGUUGUAAAGUACUUUCAGCGGGGAGGAAGGGAGUAAAGUUAAUACCUUUGCUCAUUGACGUUACCCGCAGAAGAAGCACCGGCUAACUCCGUGCCAGCAGCCGCGGUAAUACGGAGGGUGCAAGCGUUAAUCGGAAUUACUGGGCGUAAAGCGCACGCAGGCGGUUUGUUAAGUCAGAUGUGAAAUCCCCGGGCUCAACCUGGGAACUGCAUCUGAUACUGGCAAGCUUGAGUCUCGUAGAGGGGGGUAGAAUUCCAGGUGUAGCGGUGAAAUGCGUAGAGAUCUGGAGGAAUACCGGUGGCGAAGGCGGCCCCCUGGACGAAGACUGACGCUCAGGUGCGAAAGCGUGGGGAGCAAACAGGAUUAGAUACCCUGGUAGUCCACGCCGUAAACGAUGUCGACUUGGAGGUUGUGCCCUUGAGGCGUGGCUUCCGGAGCUAACGCGUUAAGUCGACCGCCUGGGGAGUACGGCCGCAAGGUUAAAACUCAAAUGAAUUGACGGGGGCCCGCACAAGCGGUGGAGCAUGUGGUUUAAUUCGAUGCAACGCGAAGAACCUUACCUGGUCUUGACAUCCACGGAAGUUUUCAGAGAUGAGAAUGUGCCUUCGGGAACCGUGAGACAGGUGCUGCAUGGCUGUCGUCAGCUCGUGUUGUGAAAUGUUGGGUUAAGUCCCGCAACGAGCGCAACCCUUAUCCUUUGUUGCCAGCGGUCCGGCCGGGAACUCAAAGGAGACUGCCAGUGAUAAACUGGAGGAAGGUGGGGAUGACGUCA
rnacentral:rRNA from 1 species